CACAAAAAGCAAGUCUAAAUGGAUGUUCUUCUCCUAUUCACACUGCUUUGUCUAAAAGCAGAUUUCAGUGACGGUGUUCUGAUCACUCAAUGGCCAAAGUACAUAUCCAGUCUUCCAAGCUCCUCAGCUGAAAUGCACUGUUACCAGAACGAUACAGACUAUAACUACAAAUACUGGUACAGACAAAUAAAAGGUGAAGGACCAGUGCUUAUUGGGAGCAACGAUUUUAACUCUCCCUCUAAUGAGAAGGGUUUUGAGAAUGGCUUCACAAUUUCAGGUACAGAGACAAAGAAAUGGACCCUGACGGUUGAUGUUAAGAAGGGGAUUGAUGCUGUGUAUCUGUGUGCUGCUAGUUUACGUGACUCUGGUGUUGCUCAGGCUUAUUUCGGCAAUGGAACAAAGUUAACUGUACUCGAGCGUGAUAUAAGCAAACCAGAAGUAGAAAUUCUAAAACCCUCUGGAAAUGAGACGAGCUGUAAGCAAAAAGUCACUCUUGUGUGUGUGGCCAAAAACUUCUACCCAGACCAUGUGAGCAUAACAUGGAAGAUUGGAAGCAAAGACAUAAACGAUGAUGUAGCGACAGACCCUUAUGCCACUCAAGACAAAGAAACAAAAUUGUUCAGCAUAACCAGCAGACUUAAAGUCUCUAAAAAAGAAUUCAAACCACAAAACACAUUCAGAUGUACUGUGAGAUUCUACAAUGAAACAGACGUUUACACUGAGUCAGCCAGUGCAAUCAAUGGAAUUGCAGGGGGUGGAUAUGAGCCAGAAGACUAUAUAAAAUCAUCACGGAGGAUGAAGCUGGCAUACGGUGUGUUCAUCGCUAAGGGUGGACUGUAUGGUCUUGUCAUCUUAGUGUAUGUAUGGAGAAAGGGUUCAUCUGGAAAGUGAAUGAACUGAACAUUCCUGGAUUGACCAAGUUUGAGUUACCAAGAAAACUCGAUCCAUUUACUCCAUCCAGAAGAGAUGCUGAUUAUAUAACUGAAGACUCUUUCUAUACUGUUUCGUUUUAUUUCUCUCUUUCUGUUCUUUUCUGAGUGUGUAUCCCAGUGAAAAUCUGCAGGUACUUCAGAUCAGAGUAAUCAUAAAAUAUUUUUUUAUAAUAUUUGUUUUUCUUUUGCUUAUUUCCUUGCUACUGUACAUAGUUACAAUUCGAUAACAAACUACUAUACUAGUAAAACAGACUUAACAGAGCUAAAUAUAAUUCAUUGUUUUUCAUAUUAAGAUUUACUGUAUUUUUUAAAAUUUGUUUUUACAUAAAUAAAAUCUAUAACACAUGCUUAUUACCCACAAAGAAAAUUAUUAUCUACAAGUAUUUUUUUUUUAAAUAUACCUUUAAUCACUUAUUUUAUAGGCAUGUUGUUCACCAAUUCAAGACUAAUAGCUAUUUUGAUAGCUUAAUUUUUUGCUGUAGAUAAUUUGGUAGAGUACAUGGCACUUGCUGUUAAAGGUUUCAUUCUCAGAGAGCACAAAUAAAUUGUAUACCUUGAAUUGCUUUGAAUAAAAGCAUCUACAAAAUGCAUAGAAAUAAAAGACAA